rnacentral:rRNA from 1 species
GACGUAGGGUGCAAGCGUUGUCCGGAUUUACUGGGCGUAAAGCGCUUGUAGGCGGUCCACCAAGUUUGGGGUGACAGUUGCCGACUUAAUCGGCAAAGUGCCUCAAAGACUGGCGGACUUGAGGGCCACAGAGGGACAUGGAACUCCAGGUGUAGUGGUGAAAUGCGUAGAUAUCUGGAAGAACACCAAAGGCGAAGGCAGUGUCCUGGGUGGUCGCUGACGCUGAGAGGCGAAAGCCAGGGGAGCGAACGGG